rnacentral:tRNA from 1 species
UCCCUGGUGGCUCAGAGGUUAAAGCGUCUGCCUGCAAUGCAGGAGACCAGGGUUUGAUCCCUGGGUUGGGAA